rnacentral:lncRNA from 1 species
CGGAUGUUUUAGUAUACAAAGCGAUAGAACACGACGUCGGGCGGCAUAAUGAAGGGAACUCGGUAAAGAGAGCAUGAUAAGGAGCCGGAGCGUGAUUCGGAGCCCAGUCCGGUGCGUAAGGCGUGAAUCCCGCAUCCGAGAUCUCAGGUGAGAAUCAGUAGCGGCCUCAGCUCCGCGUGGAGUCCGAGUCCGCUCCCGGGAGAGGGGUGAAACGUAAUGAGUGAGUAUCCACAACUCGCAUCCACCUUGCUAGUGGUCCCCCGCCCCCCUUCGCCCCCCCACGCCCCCCCUCGCGACGCCGCUAAACGGCGCCCAAGUUGGCGGCAAGCGCCGGCUCCGCUCCGAGCUGAGGUUUCCUCGGCAGUCUCAUUGAUAACCACUUUUGUGUCAACUUGUGCCGUGCCGAUCCGCGCUUGCGUCGGGUAUCAUGAUAUCGCGAAUUUCGUGUCCCGCGUGAUAAUAUGAUUCGGGAUUGUUGGUGCGAUGAUAUCAUGAAUUCCUCGCUGGCUUUGUUCAUUUCGGGGGGAGUGUCCUUUGGUGUGAUAGCCGCGCUAUGCUCCGGGAUAUUUUACCUCGUCGUCGUUGGACUCAAAAAUUCCAGUCGGCUGAGAGAGAUCCUCGACUUGCCAUCCCUCGAGUAUCCAUCAGGCCCCGCCGCUGUUUCCACCUCAAAGGCGUUGACUCUAGUCUCGGUUCAGCCUCGCAAAAGCUGCAAUCGGUGCUACAAAGCGGCCCCACUUCGUCGAAAAUGCUUCAAGUGUCGUAUGAAAGUAUGCCGGGCAUGUUCCUACAAAGGAUUUGCUCCACUUGUAGGAUACCAAGAGAUGAAAAUCGGAAGACAGGGGACUGGUUUUAUCAACGACUCCAGAAAGAAUUCAACCUCAAAGUGGCGGCCAUAGCAAAUAACUCGGAUCUCGAUGGAGAAGUACGGGAGUUUAUGGAACGUCUCGUCGAGACACUCGUUGGAGGAAGUCUUGAUGACGUAUCACUCACUCCACUGUCUGAUCAUCCAGACUAUGAUGGACUUUGUGAUCGGCAUCAAGAAAUUUUGUCUCUCACCCUCGCUCGCCUCUCAUUCGGCCUGCAUAUGGCCAUCGCAAACAAGCCAUUGCCAGAACUUGAGUCUCCAUCGACAGUUACAUCCGAGCUGAAAACUCAAGUUCAAAAACUGACGGAUGAAGCUUUGACACUUCCAGAACUUUUGGAUGAAGAUUUCAUAUCAAAAAGUUCCGUGAACACGGUCAAUCUAGAUGGACAAACGUACGAGGACAUAUUGGCGAAAGCUAUCAUCAACAAAGUGGUUGAAAAAGUCAAAGAGGACAGGGCAGCCCAACAGACAGUAAAAAUAACCUAG